ACCCCCUCAACCCAAUCAACUCACAAACUUCUAAGAUCCUUCAGCUAGAUCCUGAUUAAACCUAUAUCCUGCUAAGAAAUUCAAUAAUUUCUUCCAGAGACUCCAAAUUGGAUAGGUGAGUUUUAUCCCUUUUAUUCAAAUUUUUACGAUAUAAUUUAUUUUCUCUACCCUUAUGGCCCUAGCAGAAUUGAAGGAGUUAACAACACAAUUGCAGGAGCUACUUGAUAAAGGUUUCAUAAGACCCAGUGUUUCACCUUGGGGAGCCCCUGUGCUAUUUGUGAAGAAGAAGGAUGGUUCCUUAAGGUUGUGUAUUGACUACAGAGAAUUGAAUCGAGUCACUGUGCGAAACAAGUAUCCUUUACCCCGGAUUGAUGAUCUUUUUUAUCAGCUCCAAGGUGCUAAAGUAUUCUCUAAGAUUGAUUUGCGGUCUGGCUAUCAUCAAUUGAAGAUCAAGGAGUCUGAAAUACCUAAGACAGCCUUUAGAACUCGUUACGGACAUUAUGAGUUUCUCGUUAUGCCUUUCGGGUUAACUAAUGCACCCGCUGCUUUUAUGGAUCUCAUGAAUAGGGUGUUCAAGCCCUACUUGGAUAACUUUGUUAUUGUGUUUAUUGAUGACAUCUUAGUAUAUUCCCGUAGCAAGGAAGAGCAUGAGAAGCAUUUACGGAUAGUACUGCAAAUUUUGAGAGAUAAACAACUAUAUGCUAAAUUGAGCAAAUGUGAGUUCUGGCUUGAUCGGGUGGUUUUCUUGGGACAUGUUAUCUCAGCAGAUGGAGUUUUGGUUGAUCCUAAGAAGAUUGAAGCAGUAGUCAAUUGGGAUUCUCCAACUAAUGUUACAGAGGUUAGAAGUUUUCUGGGCUUAGCAGGGUAUUAUUGUCGCUUUGUUCAGGAUUUCUCCAUCAUUGCAGCACCAUUGACUAAACUCCUUCGAAAGAAUGCAAAGUUUGAAUGGACAGAUGAAUGUCAAGAGAGUUUUGACAAGCUUAAAACGUGUCUCACAUCAGCCCCAGUUCUUACCUUACCCUCAGGUACAAAUGGAUUUAUGGUGUAUAGUGAUGCUUCUCACAAGGGUUUAGGCUGUGUACUCAUGCAACAUGGGAAGGUGAUAGCUUAUGCUUCUAGACAGCUUAGACCACAUGAAUUAAAUUAUCCCACCCAUGAUCUGGAAUUAGCUGCAGUUGUGUUUGCAUUAAAGACAUGGAGGCAUUAUCUUUAUGGCGUGACUUGCCAGAUUUUUACAGAUCAUAAGAGUUUGAAGUAUCUUCUCACACAGAAGGAGUUGAAUUUAAGGCAGAAACGGUGGAUUGAGUUACUUAAGGACUACGACUGUACUAUUGAAUAUCAUCCAGGUAAAGCUAAUGUGGUAGCUGAUGCCCUUAGUCGCAAGUCCUUUAGUAAUUUGGCUUAUCUCAAAACAGUUCGGCUUUCUUUGUUACUAGAGAUCAGAUUCUUAAGAGUAGAACUAGCAGUGGAUGAUGCAGGAGCAUUGUUAGCAACUCUCAAAGUUCGACCAGUUUUGAUAGAAAAAGUUAGAGAAGCCUAAAAUCAAGAUGAGCAGUUAAGUAAGAUCAGUAAUGAAGUAAGAGAUGGCACCCGUACCGACUUUUCUCUAAGGGAGGAUGAGACUUUAAUGUUUGGUGAUAGACUAUGUGUACCCAGAGUGGAAAGCUUGAAGAGAAAGAUUAUGGAGGAAGCCCAUUGCUCUGCUUACUCUAUGCAUCCAGAAAGCACAAAAAUGUACAAAGAUCUUAGAGAACACUAUUGGUGGCCAGGUAUGAAGAAAGAAAUAGCUGACUUUGUGUCCACAUGCUUAGUUUGUCAACAGAUUAAAGCAGAACAUCAACAUCCAAUAGGAAAGCUGCAACCGCUCUCUAUUUCGGAAUGGAAGUGGGAACACAUUACUAUGGAUUUUGUUUCUGGGUUACCUCGUACUUCGCAUGGACAUAAUGCAGUAUGAGUGAUAGUUGAUAGAUUAACCAAGUCAGCACACUUUUUGCCUAUCAGGAUGGAUUAUUCUUUAGACAAGUUAGCAGAGAUCUAUGUCAAUGAGAUUGUAAGACUUCAUGGUGCUCUAGUUUCUAUUGUUUCAAAUAGAGAUCCAAGAUUCACUUCUCGUUUUUGGCCUAGUUUGCAAAAUGCUUUAGGCACCAAGUUGAAGUUUAGCACUUCCUUUCACCCUCAAACUGAUGGUCAAUCAGAAAGAACUAUUCAGACCUUGGAGGAUAUGCUGAGAGCUUGUGUGAUGGAGUUUAGAGGAAGUUGGGAUAGGUAUGUGCAUUUAAUGGAGUUCUCUUAUAACAAUAGUUAUCAUUCGAGUAUCGGCAUAGCUCCUUACGAAGCUUUGUAUGGGAGAAGAUGCAGAACGCCAUUGUGUUGGAAUGAGGUAGGGAAAAGACAAUUAGAAGGUCCAGAACUAGUACAACACACUACAGAUAAAAUUCAGAUGAUUAAAAGUAGAUUAAAAGCAGCACAAGACAAACAGAAGAGUUAUGCAGAUCUGAAGAGAAGGGAUAUUGAAUAUAAUGUUGGCGACAAGGUAUUUCUAAAGAUCUCUCCUUGGAAAGGGGUUGUACGUUUUGGCAAACGUGGAAAAUUGAGUCCGCGAUUCAUAGGACCAUAUGAGAUUUUAGAGAGAAUUGGACCAGUUGCUUAUCGUUUAGCACUACCUCCAGAGCUAUCUCAGAUUCAUGAUGUCUUCCAUGUAUCUAUGUUAAGGAGAUACAGAAGUGACCCUUCCCACAUCCUCCAGAAACAGCCUAUCGAGUUGAGGGAAGAUUUAACAUAUGAAGAAGAGCCAGUAGAGAUCAUUGCCAGAAAAGAGAAGGUUUUAAGGAGCAAGAUAAUACUUCUGGUUAAAGUUCGAUGGAGUAACCAUUCUGCUAAAGAAGCUACCUGGGAAAAAGAAGAGAAUAUGCGAAUUCAAUUCCCACAUUUAUUCCCUUCACCAGGUAUAUAAAAUUUCGAGGACGAAAUUUCUAUUAGGAAGAGAGAAUUAUCAAGCCCAGGCCCAGGCCUAUAUAUAAAAAAAAAAAUAUAGAGAGCAUUAAAGCUCUGGUUUCGGGAAUGUCCCGAAACAUUCCCGAAACCAAAGCAUGUUGUCUUCCUCCCUCGCGAAAUAGAGCAGAACCUCUGUUAUUCUAAAAAAAAAAAAAUUCCUCUUUUAAAUCCAAAUCUCCACCCCUCAACCCAAUCAACCCACAAACUUCUAAGAUCCUUCAGCUAGAUCCUGAUUAAACCUAUAUCCUGCUAAGAAAUUCAAUAAUUUCUUCUAGAGACUCCAAAUUGGAUAGGUGAGUUUUAUCCCUUUUAUUCAAAUUUUUACGAUAUAAUUUAUUUUCUCUACCCUUUUAAUAGUGAUUUUUGGUGAUUUGAGAAUUAAAAGGGUAUAUGUUUUAGUUAGAUCCAAUUAAUGAGUUUUAAUAUUUCUUUUUGGGAUGAUGAUUUUUUAUAGGUUAUUGAGUAUUUUUGUUGAGUUUGGGUAUUUUUGGGAGGACUAACUAUGCCGAAAUACUGCCGAAAUUUUCUUAAAAAUAUAUAUAAAAAUAUAUUUAAAAUUUCGUAUUUUACGUUUUAUAUUAUUGUCCUAGAUUAUUUUUUUUAUUAUUAUUUGAUAUAUUAUUUAUUUUUUC
rnacentral:lncRNA from 1 species